AUUGAACGCUGGCGGCAGGCCUAACACAUGCAAGUCGAGCGGGGUUUUCGGACCUAGCGGCGGACGGGUGAGUAAAGCGUAGGAAGCUGCCCGAUAGAGGGGGAUACCAGUUGGAAACGACUGUUAAUACCGCAUAAUGUCUACGGACCAAAGUGUGGGACCUUCGGGCCACGUGCUAUCGGAUGCGCCUACGUGGGAUUAGCUAGUUGGUGAGGUAAUGGCUCACCAAGGCGACGAUCUCUAGCUGGUUUGAGAGGAUGAUCAGCCACACUGGAACUGAGACACGGUCCAGACUCCUACGGGAGGCAGCAGUGGGGAAUAUUGGACAAUGGGCGCAAGCCUGAUCCAGCCAUGCCGCGUGUGUGAAGAAGGCCUUCGGGUUGUAAAGCACUUUCAGCGAGGAGGAAGGGUGGUGUGUUAAUAGCACAUCAUUUUGACGUUACUCGCAGAAGAAGCACCGGCUAACUCUGUGCCAGCCGCCGCAGUAA
rnacentral:rRNA from 1 species